UGGUUUUUAUAUUCUGUACUUUCUCUUGGUUUUGCUCAUAUUCUUAACAUGCAUAGUAAAUUCUUUUAAAUGCCAAACAUUUAAGUUGCACCAGCUCAGGAUAAUCUUUUCCCCUGGGCGGGGUUUAGCCCUCCCUUCCUUGUCAGCUAGAGUACGGCCGAUCACUUUACUCCAGCCAGAGAUGCUGGUGAUUUGAGACUAAUUUGCAGUUCUAGCAGAGCUGGGUCUCCUUAAGUUUGGCCCCUGACUUCCAGACUUUUAAACUGAAAGGGUGAUUUCUUCUUGAGGAAACUGCUCCCUGGGAGGCUGUUAACUGAUGACAAACUUCACUAGGCUUUUCAGGGGUUUUACAUUGAGGCUUUUACUUUCUACUGCACAGAGUCCUAUUGUUCAGCAGAUGUCUCACGUCCUUGAGACCCCCUGGCCUCCACCAAUAGCUCUCCUGGUUUCCCAGGUGUGUCGUCUGCUGGACCAUACAUCAAGUGAAAACCUGUUAUGGAAUGAGACAAAGUUCCUCCAGAGCUGUUCUUCUGCUUUCCAUGUCUGCACUGUGGAGCAGACGUUGGCCGUGAAGGAGCUCUCUCCUGACGCCAUCUUGCAGGGUGUUCACCCGAACCCUUAUGAGGAAUGGAAGAAGCAUGGAUUGAAUCAAAGUGGUUCUCUGGAGUUCCUCCAAAACUGCCAUUGUCCACCAUUAAAAGGUAAUAAAAGCUAAUGAAAUCCUAUACAGGAAGGAGCUCCCAGUAAUAAGAACCUUCGG
rnacentral:lncRNA from 1 species